GGAGCUUGCUCCCGGAUGUUAGCGGCGGACGGGUGAGUAACACGUGGGUAACCUGCCUGUAAGACUGGGAUAACUCCGGGAAACCGGAGCUAAUACCGGAUAGUUCCUUGAACCGCAUGGUUCAAGGAUGAAAGACGGUUUCGGCUGUCACUUACAGAUGGACCCGCGGCGCAUUAGCUAGUUGGUGGGGUAAUGGCUCACCAAGGCGACGAUGCGUAGCCGACCUGAGAGGGUGAUCGGCCACACUGGGACUGAGACACGGCCCAGACUCCUACGGGAGGCAGCAGUAGGGAAUCUUCCGCAAUGGACGAAAGUCUGACGGAGCAACGCCGCGUGAGUGAUGAAGGUUUUCGGAUCGUAAAGCUCUGUUGUUAGGGAAGAACAAGUGCGAGAGUAACUGCUCGCACCUUGACGGUACCUAACCAGAAAGCCACGGCUAACUACGUGCCAGCAGCCGCGGUAAUACGUAGGUGGCAAGCGUUGUCCGGAAUUAUUGGGCGUAAAGGGCUCGCAGGCGGUUUCUUAAGUCUGAUGUGAAAGCCCCCGGCUCAACCGGGGAGGGUCAUUGGAAACUGGGAAACUUGAGUGCAGAAGAGGAGAGUGGAAUUCCACGUGUAGCGGUGAAAUGCGUAGAGAUGUGGAGGAACACCAGUGGCGAAGGCGACUCUCUGGUCUGUAACUGACGCUGAGGAGCGAAAGCGUGGGGAGCGAACAGGAUUAGAUACCCUGGUAGUCCACGCCGUAAACGAUGA
rnacentral:rRNA from 1 species